UUGUUCUCCCAGAUGGCGUGCUCCAUGCAGUGAGCGGAGACCGGGUGCGUUUGGUUCUGAGGAGCAGGCGGCGCGUUGAAGCCGCCCUGCUGGACUAUCACAACGAGCUGAACCACCUUGACGUCAACAAGUGUCUCAGACUGCUCAACGAAAGGUACUUCUGGAAAACCAUGAGAACUGAUGUGGCGCAGUGGAUCGACAGUUGCUCGCAGUGCAGCAGCAAUAAGAAGAAGAAGAAAGCACACAUCCAAACAGCACCGGGAGGAUCAGAGUCACACCUGCAGGCGCCCAGAUCUCCACACAUACCUGAGGAUGUAGACAGUGGGCCGGAUGCCGAUGAUUACAGCGAUGAUGGUGAUGAUGGUGAUGAUGUUGAUGUAUGUGGUGGGAGUGUCGGUGAUGAAGAGAGGCGGCCAGCGACCAAUUCAGAGGACAGAGUGGAGAACCCUUCACCUGUAACUCCCAUCAGCCCUCGGCCCAGAAUCCCCAUCCUCCUUCAUGUAAGAACUCCCAUCAACUUCCAGCCCAGAACUCCAGUAAUCCUCCAGCCGAGGACUCCCAACCUCCCCUUUGUGACCAGAAUCUGGUCCCUCAGGACAGGGGCCCUUCCACAGUCUGAAGUCCAGAAGGAGACAAACGGCUCCAACACUCAGCCUGCCAGCCAAAGCAGCGUCCAGGUUCAGCCGGAGGAGCAGACACAGUCUCAGGACCAGAAGCGAACAUGUGGCCCUCGGGGCAGUGCCAGAACGCAUCACUAUGUCAAAGUCCAGGACCUAGCCACACCUCUCCCAGAUUCACAUCCUCCAUUCGAGCUUCCAGCAACACCCAAACUUCCACAAGACACAAGCAAGCAAAGUCAGCCUCCGAAUCAAAGCAGGGGACUGAAGAGCCAGUCCCAACCCCAGAGCCAUGUUCAGCACCCGGGCAAGAGGAAGAGAGAGCUGGAGGCAGCGUCUUCGGCUAAGAGGAGCUCCAGCUGUGGCCUGGAGCCUGUGGUGGCCCCGAGCACCAAACCCUGGCCCGUCUUCACCAUCGCUGGCUCUGCCCCGCCACAGGCAGCCAAACCCCUUUCUAGAGUGGACAGGUACGUACAAGUACUACUGACUCAGAAAAAUAACUUUUCACAACUUUUUCAACGACGCUGGGAA
rnacentral:lncRNA from 1 species